rnacentral:rRNA from 1 species
CCUACGGGUGGCAGCAGUGAGGAAUAUUGGUCAAUGGGCGCGAGCCUGAACCAGCCAAGUAGCGUGCAGGAUGACUGCCCUACGGGUUGUAAACUUCUUUUAUAAAGGAAUAAAGUGAGGCACGUGUGACUUUUUGUAUGUACUUUAUGAAUAAGGAUCGGCUAACUCCGUGACCGCAGCCGCGGUAAUACGGAGGAUCCGAGCGUUAUCCGGAUUUAUUGGGUUUAAAGGGAGCGUAGAUGGGUUGGUAAGUCAGGUGUGAAAGUUUGCGGCUCAACCGUAAAAUUGCAAUUGAUACUGGCAGCCUUGAGUACAGUUGAGGUAGGCGGAAUUCGUGGGGUAGCGGUGAAAUGCUUAGAUAUCACGAAGAACUCCGAUUGCGAAGGCAGCUUACUAAACUGCCACUGACAUUGAUGCUCGAAAGUGUGGGUAUCAAACAGGAUUAGAUACCCCUGUAGUC